AGGCCGAGAAAAUGCUUAGCUAUAGUAAUCAAACGGUACAGUGGGUAUGAGGAAAUAAAUAUUUAGUUUGUGAGGGUCUGCAAUUCACUUGAGCCUUUUAGUUGGGACAAAUUUAUACUUGGCUAUAACAACCACGCCACUAUCUUGAGUUGGCAUGUCGUUAGUUAAAUCAAAUCAUUGUUGAGGAAAAACAGAGAGCCAACUACUUCCGAGAUUGCCAAUUAUAAUUAUAGAUAAUUCAGACAUUCAAUCUAAAAAGGCUUUAAUGGCUAAGGAAUCACCUUUCUCUCCAGUUUCUUUAGAAACUACAAACACUUCAUGUCGUCAAUCACCUAUAACAUUUGAACCCAAUUUCCAGGGACCUAUGGAUCGGUGUAUAAAUAACGCCAGUUCUUUCUCAGGUGGUAGACGGGGGUUCUAAUAUUAAAGGGGCCAUACAAAGUGAAUUUGGCGAAUGAAAACACAAUCAUGUUUCGGACAUGUUAUUCAUAAUAUUGGCCAGCGACUUGUCGAAAUAAAUAUUAUCCCAUCCGUUUGAAUCUGAAAAUAAAAUAAUUGAAAUACCUCAAUAGGUGAAGAUGAUGGUAUUGAUAGCUUUGAUGACCUAAACGUAGAUAACACUAAUGAGCAAUCAACUUUGCGAGGACUGUUGGCAAAAGUCAA